UUACAUCUUUUAAUUAAAUCUUCACCAGUCAAAGUAACAAAUGAUCUAUAGUCCGUACGCGGGGGCGGCAUUUUUACCUAAAAAUGUGGUAAGGUGAUAAUUUAAAUUAUAAUAGGUAUGUUACGUCAUUUCUCGUCUCGAGCUCUGAAGCUUCAACCAUUAGUUGAAUAAUUAACUGAUUGUGAAUUUUAAACCAGAAUUGAAAGUUUUACUACUAAUACUGUGAGCAUAUGUUCAAAUAUAUAUACGAUAGCGAUGGAUUUAUGUGGGGUGAAAUAAGGAAAGAACUCUCUCCAAGGAUGAAUGCUGUUAAAUUUUUUUUUAACCUUUAAUACUUAUUAUUUUUAAGAUCCUAGAUAGUGUUUUAGUAUUUAAGACAAUUUUAAAAGCUGCGUUGUCUCUAACCCUUAAAAGAAUAUCGUUAGAUAUUAUGUUAAUCAGCAAUAUACAUAUUAUAGAGGAGGCGGCUUAAUGCAGACCCUAUGCUGAGGCAUCAGGAACUAUAUAAUACAGUUGUAGUAUUUUGACAACAAAUUCAGGAUUUAUGAACGAAGAAGUUUAAUUAGUAGUUAGAGAAUUAAAAAAAUAAAACGCAGAGAUUUACAUACGGUUCAUAAAAAUGAUAACUUAAAAGACGUCGAAAGUACAUCAUCAUCAGCAAUUUAUGUAAUUUAAAAAGGAUCAUCCCUAAUUUAGCUACUUAAUUAAACAAUCUAAAGUCACAGCUUAAAUUCGAUAUUACUAGUCGCGUGCUAUGAAGGCACUAUCUUUCGACAAGAAUACUUAAUUGAUAAUCACGGCCUUUAGUGAGAGUAUUAAUAAUUAAAAUAAGACGAUGUUCUAGAACUGAGUGAUUUUGUAAAUUUGGAAGUGAUCUGA